ACACGUAUGAAAGACAAGCUGAAAGACUUUUCUCAAUGAUGUAAGUGGUGGUGCAUGGUCGUUCUUAGUUCGUGGAUUGAUUUGUCUGGUCUAUUCCGAUAACGAGCGAGACCCCAACGUUCCUAAUAGGGGUGGCAGCCCGGCUCGCCGCGCAAGCGGCUUGCUAGCAGCCGCCUAAGAUGCUUCUUAGACGUAUCAGGGCCGAUAAGGUCCUUGAAAUGGGUUAAUAACAGGUCAGUCAUGCCCUUAGAUGUUCUGGGCCGCACGCGCGUUACAAUGGUAAACAUUAGAAUGUGCCGUUGCGGCGUUUCCGCAGCCGAAGGGCUGUGGUAACCCAUAAUCUCUCCCUUGACUGGAACAGACUAUUGCAAUUAUUGGUCUCUAACGAGGAAUUUUUAGUAGUCGCAGGUCAUUAACCUGCGACG
rnacentral:rRNA from 1 species